rnacentral:rRNA from 1 species
GACGAACGCUGGCGGCGUGCCUAAUACAUGCAAGUCGAACGCUUUUUCUUUCACCGGAGCUUGCUCCACCGAAAGAAAAAGAGUGGCGAACGGGUGAGUAACACGUGGGUAACCCGCCCAUCAGAAGGGGAUAACACUUGGAAACAGGUGCUAAUACCGUAUAACACUAUUUUCCGCAUGGAAGAAAGUUGAAAGGCGCUUUUGCGUCACUGAUGGAUGGACCCGCGGUGCAUUAGCUAGUUGGUGAGGUAACGGCUCACCAAGGCAACGAUGCAUAGCCGACCUGAGAGGGUGAUCGGCCACACUGGGACUGAGACACGGCCCAGACUCCUACGGGAGGCAGCAGUAGGGAAUCUUCGGCAAUGGACGAAAGUCUGACCGAGCAACGCCGCGUGAGUGAAGAAGGUUUUCGGAUCGUAAAACUCUGUUGUUAGAGAAGAACAAGGAUGAGAGUAAAACG